rnacentral:rRNA from 1 species
GACGGAGGAUGCAAGCGUUAUCCGGAAUUAUUGGGCGUAAAGCGUCCGCAGGUGGCAAUGUAAGUCUGCUGUCAAAGCGUCUGGCUCAACCAGAUAAAGGCAGUGGAAACUACAUAGCUAGAGUAAGGUAGGGGUAGAGGGAAUUCCUGGUGUAGCGGUGAAAUGCGUAGAGAUCAGGAAGAACACCGGUGGCGAAAGCGCUCUGCUGGACCUUAACUGACACUGAGGGACGAAAGCUAGGGGAGCGAAUGGG